UCUUUCCCUCUAUCCCAGGGGUAGGGAACAUCUGGCCCAAGGGCCAUGUAAGGCCUGAAAAGUCAUUUGGUCUGGCCCUGUCAAGGCAUUAAAGGUUAAUUAGUUAAAUAUUUGACCAAAUAUAGCAGCCUA